rnacentral:misc_RNA from 1 species
UAACCCAUCGCCGCCGGUCGUUAACCCGACCGCGAAGCGGAUUUGGACGUUGCCGGCCGAGAAGGUCGGCUCGUCUCGAAAUGCAUUAGCUGGGGCACGGAGCGCAGCGCGACGUUGAUAAUCGUCUACGCCUCGCGAGCUUCGAGACCCGCUUCGAAUCGUCGUCCCCGACGACAUCUUUCAAA